rnacentral:rRNA from 1 species
UACGUAGGUGGCAAGCGUUGUCCGGAUUUAUUGGGUUUAAAGGGUGCGUAGGCGGCAGAUUAAGUCAGCGGUGAAAUUCCACAGCUCAACUGUGGAACUGCCAUUGAUACUGGUUUGCUUGAGUACAGAUGAGGUAGGCGGAAUUGACAGUGUAGCGGUGAAAUACGUAGAGAUGUCAUAGAACACCGAUUGCGAAGGCAGCUGACGAAACUAUAACUGACACUGAGGCUCGAAAGUGCGGGGAUCAAACAGG